rnacentral:misc_RNA from 1 species
AUGAAGAACGCAGCGAAAUGCGAUAAGUAAUGUGAAUUGCAGAAUUCAGUGAAUCAUCGAAUCUUUGAACGCACCUUGCGCCCUUUGGCCAUUCCGAAGGGCAUGCCUGUUUGAGUAUCAUGAACACCUCAACUCUUUAUGGUUUUCCAUGAUGAGCUUGGACUCUGGGGGUUUUGCUGGCUCACAGUCGGCUCCUCUAAAAUAAAUCAGCUUACCAGUGUUUGGUGGGUAUCAUGGGUGUGAUAACUAUCUACGCUUGUGGUUUUUCCACCAGGUAACCUUCAGCAGUGGAGGUUCGCUGGAGCUCAUAGACGUCUCUCCUCAGUGAGGACAGCCCUUUGAUCGUUUGAUCUCAAAUCAGGUAGGACUACCCGCUGAACUUAAGCAUAUCAAUAAGCGGAGGA